rnacentral:rRNA from 1 species
GUGAGGAAUUUUCCGCAAUGGGUGAAAGCCUGACGGAGCAAUGCCGCGUGAAGGAUGAAGGCCUAUGGGUUGUAAACUUCUUUUCUCAGAAAAGAAUUAUGACGGUAUCUGAGGAAUAAGCAUCGGCUAACUCUGUGCCAGCAGCCGCGGUAAGACAGAGGAUGCAAGCGUUAUCCGGAAUGAUUGGGCGUAAAGCGUCUGUAGGUUGUUUAAAAAGUAUUCUGUCAAAGAUUAGGGCUUAACCCUAGAUAGGCAGAAUAAACUUUUAAGCUAGAGUUUGGUAGAGGCAGAGGGAAUUCCCGGUGGAGCGGUGAAAUGCGUAGAUAUCGGGAGGAACACCAAAGGCGAAGGCACUCUGCUGGGCCAAUACUAACACUGAGAGACGAAAGCGAGGGGAGCAAAUGGGAUUAGAUACCCGAGUAGUCC